GGCGGAAUUCUGCAAGGAAUUUCGAAGGUCAGAGUUUGAUGCUGCUACACGUGAAAGGAACAAUACUUUUUUCUGCCUUUCCAGGAGUCAACUUUUAGACUGAAGUCUUAUGUAAUUGUCCCUCAGUCUAAGACUGCUAUAAGAAGUGGUUUUGAGCUACCAAACACCUUGCCAGUGUCUCAAAGGAAAAGGAAAGAUUAACUGAGGUU
rnacentral:lncRNA from 1 species